CCCAAAAUGAAUUUCACGGGUGAACCUUGAGACUUGCAAUGAAUGAGUUAAUUUUCAGCUCAAUAUCGGUACAAGCAGCGCACAUCGCAGCGCGGUGCUGCUGUAGCUUUAAGAACACGAAAACAAGACACACGCACAGCCAGGAGGGAGGUGAUUUGGUGAUUACUGUCUCAAAUGAUCGCCGAUAAAGUGCGCAAAUCCCACUCAAGCAGAAACUUGCCCAGGGUGAGGAGGGAGGUGUCCAUGUGCCAAAGCACCUGUUCAGAUGGAGGGGUCAGUUUCAACAGCCAGUUCUACCACUACUACAGUGUGACGAAGGCAUGGGCAGAUGCUGAGGCCUCAGCCUUCCUCAAAUUCCAAGCAUUCUCAGGAAAGCGGAGGCACAGAACAGGAGGGGCCUAGGUCGGCCAGAGUUUCCCCGGUUCACUGCGCACCAGCAACCCCUGUAGAGUGACUGAGUGUUCGUGGGUGUAGACCGACGGAUCGAAAUGGGACUACAGCCACUGGAACAAAAAUGAGCCCAACAACCAAGGAGUUGAAAACUGUUUGCACUCCAACUGGGGAGAUAAUUGUGUCUGAAUGAAACCCAUUCCUUCUCUUUCUGUAGCUGGUCUUAGUUUACAGGGAGUCUUUAGUGUUAUGGUUAGCUUUGACGGCUCUGGUGAAAUUGAGUGUGUCUUUCUGCUUUGACAUCCAGAAAAUGCAGCUUGUCAUGUCUUAUGAGAGCUUUACUCUAGAUGUUCAAGCCAGAGGGGCACAUUCAAUGUUUAUUUCACACUGACACUUGAUGAGUGUGUCCCCAAAAUGUCUUGAACCCUACAAAUAGAAUAAUUUAUUGAACCUUGGUUUCAUGAUUGGUUAUGAGAUCAGUUAAAACGUCAUCUUGUAUUUUCAUUUUUCCGCUCUUUUAAAAACAAUUUGAAUGAAACUUGUUUUAUUUUUUGGAGCUUCUGUCAUUUUGAAAGGAUUUGUCUAUGACACUGCAUGAUAAAAUGUCACGGUUUUUAAUAGGGUGAUUUCGAGUUAACUGCAAGUGUGGAGUGCAGUUAAUUUUUACUUACAGAAACAUUUUUAUAAAUUAUUAUCCUUGAAUGGUGACAUCAAAGAAAUGGCAACGUCUUAGGCACAAGGACCUAUUUUCCGAUAAAUAUGUAUUUGUUUUUCGCGUUUGUGGCUCAGAUGUACGUCACAGUGAAUAGGUCCAUCUUACACCACAUGAUCAGGGUCCCUGCCACGAAUAUAAAUACACUAUUUUUUUGCACAUUUUUCAAUUGUUUUUUUGGUUGCUUAUGGUACCUUUUGUAUAUGUGGCCUUAAUUUCUUUAUGUAUUAUCCAAUUUAUUAAUUAAAUAAAUAAAUCCAUGUUCCCUACAUGUUUAAGUUUCGUUGUACACUGUCAGAU